rnacentral:rRNA from 1 species
UACGAAGGGGGCUAGCGUUGCUCGGAAUCACUGGGCGUAAAGCGCACGUAGGCGGAUUUUUAAGUCAGGGGUGAAAUCCUGGAGCUCAACUCCAGAACUGCCUUUGAUACUGGGAAUCUCGAGUCCGGGAGAGGUGAGUGGAACUGCGAGUGUAGAGGUGAAAUUCGUAGAUAUUCGCAAGAACACCAGUGGCGAAGGCGGCUCACUGGCCCGGUACUGACGCUGAGGAGCGAAAGCGUGGGGAGCGAACAGG